rnacentral:rRNA from 1 species
GACGAACGCUGGCGGCGCGCCUAACACAUGCAAGUCGAACGAGCGAGAGAGAGCUUGCUUUCUUGAGCGAGUGGCGAACGGGUGAGUAACGCGUGAGGAACCUGCCUCAAAGAGGGGGACAACAGUUGGAAACGACUGCUAAUACCGCAUAAGCCCACGGUGCCGCAUGGCACAGAGGGAAAAGGAGCAAUCCGCUUUGAGAUGGCCUCGCUUCCGAUUAGCUAGUUGGUGAGGUAACGGCCCACCAAGGCGACGAUCGGUAGCCGGACUGAGAGGUUGACCGGCCACAAUGGGACUGAGACACGGCCCAGACUCCUACGGGAGGCAGCAGUGGGGAAUAUUGCACACUGGGGGAAACCCUGAUGCAGCGACGCCGCGUGGAGGAAGAAGGUCUUCGGAUUGUAAACUCCUGUUGUUGGGGAAGAUAAUGACGGUACCCAACAAGGAAGUGACGGCUAACUACGUG